rnacentral:rRNA from 1 species
GUACACACCGCCCGUCGCUCCUACCGAUUGAGUGAWCCRGUGAAUAACUCGGACUGCAGCGUUGUCCAGCUCCUGGUCUUUGCUGUGGGAAGUUUGGUGAACCUUAUCACUUAGAGGAAGGAGAAGUCGUAACAAGGUUUCCGUAGGUGAACCUGCAGAAGGAUCA